CCUACGUGAGGCAGCAGUGAGGAAUAUUGGUCAAUGGCCGUAAGGCUGAACCAGCCAAGUCGCGUGAAGGAAGACGGCUCUAUGGUUUGUACACUUCUUUUGUAGGGGAAUAAAGGUAUCCACGUGUGGAUCUUUGCAUGUACCCUAUGAAUAAGCAUCGGCUAACUCCGUGCCAGCAGCCGCGGUAAUACGGAGGAUGCGAGCGUUAUCCGGAUUUAUUGGGUUUAAAGGGUGCGUAGGUUGUGGUUGAAGUCAGCGGUGAAAGUUUGGGGCUCAACCAGAGAAUUGCCGUUGAAACUGGAAGACUUGAGUGUGGUAGAGGUAGGCGGAAUGCGUGGUGUAGCGGUGAAAUGCAUAGAGAUCACGCAGAACUCCGAUUGCGAAGGCAGCUUACUAAGCCACAACUGACACUGAAGCACGAAAGCGUGGGGAUCAAACAGGAUUAGAUACCCGGGUAGUC
rnacentral:rRNA from 1 species